AUGCAGCUUCCGUUCUACCUGUUUGUUACUCCUAGACUUAACAGCACCUACUUGUGGGGAGAGAGGGAGGGGUUUGUGGGGGGGGACAGAGAGAAAGCAUCCACUUUGGGGCAAAAACCACCCACCAAAUGGUGGAACUCGUUUCUGUUGCAUUGGACUGCAAAGCAAUUUCUCUUUAAUAUAUACAUUUUUAAUUUAAUGAACGCUAAAAGCCUGUGUGGUGCAUCUGCGUGUCCCCCCGCCCCCAAUUUCCACCUACCCUCCUCUCCGAACGGGGGCCUGGCCUUCCUGCUGCAGUUAUGGUGUGGUAUUCUCCUUCCUGGCGUGGCGGCUUCACCCAGGCCCUCGCGGCUGCUGCUGCUGCUGCUGCUCCCUCCUCCUCCUCUUCCUCCUCCCACCCUUCUUUCGCCUCGCUCUCUUGCCGAGCACUGCAUAUGCGAGAAGCACACCGGCCUUGCGCUGAACCUGAGCUGGAGUGGAGUGCAGGUCCUGGCCAGCUUUCGGAAGGGCCCCCGUUGGCGUCACCUCAGCUGCCAAAGCAAGGGAGGGUUCGGUAGCGCCCCGGGGGGGGGAAGCGUCCGGAGUCCCCAGAGCCGGCCAAAAGCUUUUGGGUCCGAGACAGAGGAGUCUGGCCUCCCCCACCCCUUUCUCCAAGACAGGCAGAUUUCCUCUGACUUGGAACACAAACCAGGAUGCGGAAGAGACCCGGACCGUUCUGUCCUGGGGCUGUCUCUCCUGAACUCUUGGAAACGAUGGCUUUGGAUCCUUGCCUCUUCCACCCCGCGAGGGCUGCUGCCUUUUCCUCUCGGAGAAAGGGGGCUCUUCACCCUCGACAUCGAUAGGGCAGGCGGGGCUCAAUCCUCUUCCUGUUGGCGCUGGGCCCCCUUUCGCCACCCGGUUGGCGCCGCUGAGAGACUCUUAUGUUGGGUCACUGAAGCGUUGGGGCAUGGUGGUUGGGGCAUCCGGCCGUGGCGCCAGAGGUUGGCGGUUCAGCUCCUCCUUGACAGGGGCUGA
rnacentral:lncRNA from 1 species